GUUAAGCAGUCUCCUAAUCAAACCAAAAGGGUUUGCUUGCCAUCAGCACAAACAGUAGCUAAUAUGCCUGGAAAUGGCUACAGAAAUGAGUUUUUAGCCUGAUUUUGAGACUGUAGUUUAGCUUUAGUUACAGUAUAAUGAACGCAACAAUCAUGCUUUAAAACAGAGAGUUUCCUUUGUCAUUCUUUCUUAGCUUCUUAAUAUAGUGUGCUCUUCCAAUGAUUUGGUUUUCUUAAAUUUUGAUUUUUAAUUAGGCUUUCCAUAAAAUCAGACCUUCUUGUUGCUUAUAGCUUUAGGUACCCUUUUGUCUCCAUGACAAGAGCAGACAUGAUCAAUCCAAGCCCCAUUUACACUCACAUCAGGGAAAGCAGGAAGGAAGUGUUACCCCACCAUUGUCAUUCACCCCUUAUGUCCAAUGAACAGGCUUACAGCGCUGUCGGUCUGAAGGGGGUGGUACCUCCAGGUUACAGCUCACAGAAUCACCAUUCACCAUGCUUACAGCAUUGCCCCUUCAGACAAAUGGUGCUAUACGUGUGUGCACCCCACAGGAGGGGGUGAGUGGAGCUUAGAAAGUGGGCCUCCCUACUUUCCCCACCACAAGGGGCUUGGGUUAAUCAUGUCUGAAGAGGGCUAAGGAGAAGGCCCUUUGUGUGGUCUGAGAGAUCUUGGUGGAGCAGCAUUGCGGAAGCUAAAGAGAUGUGGAACUUAUCAGCCUCUUGGAGAGGGGACUACUGGGAGCUCUUCAUAAGAGCAGAAUGUCCCAUCCAUUAUUACACAUUGCUGAAGACUGAAUUUCACCUGGAACAUAGGAACAUAGGGUGCUGCUUAAUACCUAGUCAGCACAACACAAACACAGUAGCAUGAAGGAUCUGAAAUAAGGCCCCCUAUGAAGAAGAUUGUAUAACACUGAAGUUUUGAUGUUCCAAUGAAGAUCUUAUGGACAUUUAUAGGAGAACACGUGAACUCUUAAAAAGCACUUGAUAAAGGAUCUCCAAACAGCAUUAUCAUCAGAGUGAUGUUGUCUUUAUAUCCAGUUCUGUUAGUACAUUUCACAUCUAUUACAGACUAUACAGAUCUCCUGUUUGAUUCAUUGUCAUUUUGUGCAUUCUAUGUUCUGUUAGUAUUCUUCCUCACAUGAUUUAUUUAUAUUAUCAUGUUCAAAUUAUUUCAGUAGUUUCAAUAUAGUUUAUAUUUACGUUCA